rnacentral:rRNA from 1 species
UACGAAGGACCCGAGCGUUAUCCGGAUUUAUUGGGUUUAAAGGGUGCGUAGGCGGACUUUCAAGUCAGUGGUGAAAGCCCAUCGCUCAACGAUGGAAUUGCCAUUGACACUGUUGGUCUUGAGUACGGUUGAGGUGGGCGGAAUGUGUCAUGUAGCGGUGAAAUGCUUAGAUAUGACACAGAACACCAAUUGCGAAGGCAGCUCGCUAAGCCGUAACUGACGCUGAGGCACGAAAGUGUGGGUAGCAAACAGG